ACGAACGCUGGCGGCGUGCCUAAUACAUGCAAGUAGAACGCUGAAGAGAGGAGCUUGCUCUUCUUGGAUGAGUUGCGAACGGGUGAGUAACGCGUAGGUAACCUGCCUUGUAGCGGGGGAUAACUAUUGGAAACGAUAGCUAAUACCGCAUAACAAUGGAUGACACAUGUCAUUUAUUUGAAAGGGGCAAUUGCUCCACUACAAGAUGGACCUGCGUUGAAUUAGCUAGUAGGUGAGGUAACGGCUCACCUAGGCGACGAUACAUAGCCGACCUGAGAGGGUGAUCGGCCACACUGGGACUGAGACACGGCCCACACUCCUACGGGAGGCAGCAGUAGGGAAUCUUCGGCAAUGGGGGCAACCCUGACCGAGCAACGCCGCGUGAGUGAAGAAGGUUUUCGGAUCGUAAAGCUCUGUUGUAAGUCAAGAACGAGUGUGAGAGUGGAAAGUUCACACUGUGACGGUAGCUUACCAGAAAGGGACGGCUAACUACGUGCCAGCAGCCGCGGUAAUACGUAGGUCCCGAGCGUUGUCCGGAUUUAUUGGGCGUAAAGCGAGCGCAGGCGGUUUGAUAAGUCUGAAGUUAAAGGCUGUGGCUCAACCAUAGUUCGCUUUGGAAACUGUCGAACUUGAGUGCAGAAGGGGAGAGUGGAAUUCCAUGUGUAGCGGUGAAAUGGGUAGAUAUAUGGAGGAACACCGGUGGCGAAAGCGGCUCUCUGGUCUGUAACUGACGCUGAGGCUCGAAAGCGUGGGGAGCGAACAGGAUUAGAUACCCUGGUAGUCCACGCCGUAAACGAUGAGUGCUAGGUGUUGGAUCCUUUCCGGGAUUCAGUGCCGCAGCUAACGCAUUAAGCACUCCGCCUGGGGAGUACGACCGCAAGGUUGAAACUCAAAGGAAUUGACGGGGGCCCGCACAAGCGGUGGAGCAUGUGGUUUAAUUCGAAGCAACGCGAAGAACCUUACCAGGUCUUGACAUCCCGAUGCUAUUUCUAGAGAUAGAAAGUUACUUCGGUACAUCGGUGACAGGUGGUGCAUGGUUGUCGUCAGCUCGUGUCGUGAGAUGUUGGGUUAAGUCCCGCAACGAGCGCAACCCCUAUUGUUAGUUGCCAUCAUUCAGUUGGGCACUCUAGCGAGACUGCCGGUAAUAAACCGGAGGAAGGUGGGGAUGACGUCAAAUCAUCAUGCCCCUUAUGACCUGGGCUACACACGUGCUACAAUGGUUGGUACAACGAGUUGCGAGUCGGUGACGGCAAGCUAAUCUCUUAAAGCCAAUCUCAGUUCGGAUUGUAGGCUGCAACUCGCCUACAUGAAGUCGGAAUCGCUAGUAAUCGCGGAUCAGCACGCCGCGGUGAAUACGUUCCCGGGCCUUGUACACACCGCCCGUCACACCACGAGAGUUUGUAACACCCGAAGUCGGUGAGGUAACCUUUUGGAGCCAGCCGCCUAAGGUGGGAU
rnacentral:rRNA from 1 species